GACGUAGGGGGCGAGCGUUGUCCGGAUUUACUGGGCGUAAAGCGCGCGCAGGCGGUCGGAUAAGUCGAAUGUGAAAGCCCCCGGCUCAACUGGGGAGGGUCAUUCGAUACUGUUCGACUCGAAGGCAGGAGAGGGAAGUGGAAUUCCAGGUGUAGCGGUGAAAUGCGUAGAGAUCGGGAGGAACAUCAGUGGCGAAGGCGGCCAUCUGGAUCAACACUGACGCUGAGGCACGAAAGCGUGGGGAGCAAACAGG
rnacentral:rRNA from 1 species